rnacentral:rRNA from 1 species
GAUGAGAUUUCCCAAUUAGUAAGACCCCUUGAAGACGACGAGGUAGAUAGGUUGGAGGUGGAAGUGCAGCAAUGCAUGGAGCUGACCAAUACUAAUCGGUCGAGGGCUUAUCCUAAA